UACGAAGGGGCUAGCGUUGCUCGGAAUCACUGGGCGUAAAGGGUGCGUAGGCGGGUUUUUAAGUCAGGGGUGAAAUCCUGGAGCUCAACUCCAGAACUGCCUUUGAUACUGAAGAUCUUGAGUCCGGGAGAGGUGAGUGGAACUGCGAGUGUAGAGGUGAAAUUCGUAGAUAUUCGCAAGAACACCAGUGGCGAAGGCGGCUCACUGGCCCGGUACUGACGCUGAGGUGCGAAAGCGUGGGGAGCAAACAGG
rnacentral:rRNA from 1 species